AUUCUAAGGAGACUCCAAAGAAAAUACCUAAUGUCAGCCAAGAUACUCCAACCCAAAGGCCGCCCAGGAUGAUGACUGGCAGUAUGGAUGGUGAUGACCUUGUGUCAACACUAAGACCCAGAUUUGCGGAACUUGAGGCCAUGAAGUGGUAGAAUGUUUUCACAGGGAGGGUAGUGGAAACCAGAAGUGGAAACUGAAGCCAGCCUGGAAGACUUGCAAGAAGACCAAGGAAGCACCAAGAAAGCGGCCCCCCUUCCUUGAGGAAGGCAACAGGAACAGGAACGCAGGACAAUGGAAGCUGUGAGGUCACCUGGUGUGAGCCAGAAGCUGAUGAGCACAGAUCUCUACUGUUCCAAUGCACAGAUGUGGAAACUGGGGCCUCAACAGAUGAAGCUGCAAAGACACAAAACCGAUAGUUGUGAGGGAAUUGACACUCGGAGCUUGUCUGGUUGUGUGUUUCACCAUGACGCUUUCCUGGUGUAGGAACAGGAUUAAAGUCAGGGGUCCUGAAGACUCCUGACAGUCCUGAUUUUCUGGGAUGCUGAGUUUUAUCUGCCUGAUAAGCCCUCGAUUUCGCUUGAUGUUUCAGUCCAGUAUUGACAUAUAUUCCUAUAGUGUGGGAAUUUCUGACUCUCUAAAGCAAUCAUGAGUGAACAUAUUACUCUCAAGAAACAGGCAGUGUUGUCCCUGGAAUUAUCAUUAGGCCUGCAGAAAAGGAGGCUCACAUUAAACACAGGUCUAGAAGGCUUUGCAGGUUACCCUUGUUUUCAUCUUUUGAGUGGACAUAGUGUAGCAUUGUCAAGAACAUUUGGGGAACAUCACCAUGUUGCAUAUUCUCCACAAAAUGUAUGCAUUUGUAUUAGAAUGUGUUGUCAUUCAUGAUCAGUACAUGGGGGAUUUUUAUUUGGCAUUAGUCUAAGAAUGAAAAUAAGUGCUAACCUUUGUGACACAAAAUACCUGUGUGCAUUUAAAUAACUGUACUUGGUUUAAUCCAUUUAACUAUUACAACAGUGCUAGGAGAUAUAUAAGAGUGUUUUCAGAGAGAGGAGUCCUGGACACAGAGAGGUAGGUAACUACUCCAAGAUCUCACAGCACGUAGCUUCAUAAGUGCAGGGAAUUUAUACAACCACUAUGCCACCCCAUUGCUGAUGAUGGAAGCUAGAGUUUCACAUGUACUUGGGUCUUGCUCUUUUUGUAAUAUAUACCCCUGUCUCCUGAAAUUUUCUUGUACAGGCUUUUGAUUUUGUCAUUUCCUUAUCUCUCUUUGUAAAUUAAAAAAUUUGAAAAUGCAGUUUACUUAUCCAGCUAGUACACUCAAAAUCUCUGAUUCCCAGAUUCUGUGAGAAUUCAUAUUUCAAAAUUUAGUGGCUUAAGAGUGAGGCAGAUUCCUGAUGUUUACCUCUGACCUCCAGCAUCACUUGUGAGUACAUAUAUGAGUGUUAUACACAUGAAUACACAUAUGCAACUCAGACACAAUAUUUAUUGCACAGGACUUUCUUUUGAAGGAGAUUUAACAUGGCCUUUUUUCACUAAAUAAUUUAAAGAUGGGCUUUUAGACCUCUGAAGGUCUACAUUUUACAGAAUGGAAACUAUAUA